UGGGGGAAUAUUGGACAAUGGGCGCAAGCCUGAUCCAGCCAUGCCGCGUGAGUGAUGAAGGCCCUAGGGUUGUAAAGCUCUUUCACCGGUGAAGAUAAUGACGGUAACCGGAGAAGAAGCCCCGGCUAACUUCGUGCCAGCAGCCGCGGUAAUACGAAGGGGGCUAGCGUUGUUCGGAAUUACUGGGCGUAAAGCGCACGUAGGCGGACAUUUAAGUCAGGGGUGAAAUCCCGGGGGCUCAACCCCCGGAACUGCCUUUGAUACUGGGUGUCUAGAGUUCAGAGAGGUGAGUGGAAUUCCGAGUGUAGAGGUGAAAUUCGUAGAUAUUCGGAGGAACAACCAGUGGCGAAGGCGGCUCACUGGCUCGAUACUGACGCUGAGGUGCGAAAAGCGUGGGGAGCAAAACAGGAUUAGAUACCCUGGUAGUCCACGCCGUAAAACGAUGGAAGCCAGCUGUCGGAAGUUUUACUUUGUCGGUGGCGCAGCUAACGCAUUAAAGCUUCCCGCCUGGGGGAGUACGGUCGCAAGAUUAAAAACUCAAAAUG
rnacentral:rRNA from 1 species